GAUGAACGCUAGCGGCAGGCCUAAUACAUGCAAGUCGAACGGGAUUAAGAGGCUUGCUUCUUAUGAGAGUGGCGCACGGGUGCGUAACACGUAUGCAACCUACCUUCAACUGGGGGAUAGCCUUCCGAAAGGGGGAUUAAUACCGCAUAAUAUAAUUGAGUGGCAUCACUUGAUUAUCAAACGUCAGGGUUGAAGAUGGGCAUGCGUCCGAUUAGUUUGUUGGUGAGGUAACGGCUCACCAAGACUACGAUCGGUAGGGGAUCUGAGAGGAUGGCCCCCCACACUGGUACUGAGACACGGACCAGACUCCUACGGGAGGCAGCAGUAAGGAAUAUUGGUCAAUGGACGGAAGUCUGAACCAGCCAUGCCGCGUGCAGGAAGACGGUCCUCUGGAUUGUAAACUGCUUUUGUUAGGGAAGAAACUUCCGUACGUGUACGGGACUGACGGUACCUAAGGAAUAAGGAUCGGCUAACUCCGUGCCAGCCGCCGCAGUAAGAC
rnacentral:rRNA from 1 species